CCCUUAGAUGUUCUGGGCCGCACGCGCGCUACACUGAUGCAUUCAACGAGUCUAAAACCUGCUCUGAUAGGGGUGGGUAAUCUUUUGAAUGUGCAUCGUGAUUGGGAUAGAUGAUUGAAAUUUUUCAUCUUCAACGAGGAAUGCCUAGUAAACGCAAGUCAUCAGCUUGCAUUGAUUACGUCCCUGCCCUUUGUACACACCGCCCGUCGCUCCUACCGAUUGAAUGUUUCGGUGAAGAUUCCGGAUAGGACUGAUUUGAUUUAUUUCAUUUCUGACCUAAAAGCUAUCUAAACCUCAACAUUUAGAGGAAGGUGAAGUCGUAACA
rnacentral:rRNA from 1 species